rnacentral:tRNA from 1 species
GAGGUUGUGGCUCAGCGGUAGAGUGCUUGCCUAGCACAUGAGAGGCCUUGCGUUCAAUCCUCAGCAUCUCA